CAUCACGAAACCCAUUGCUUUAAACCUUGGGCAUGGCUUCAUGGUUUGUUUCAUAAAUCAAUGUGUACUAGGUGAUACAGGAGAACAACCAUGGUGGUAUACGUUCAAUCGCCAAGUUGGCAUAUAUAAUAUAAUCCAAAUAUCCAAUGAUUUUCGCUAAACAACUCCUGUGUGAAGCCAUGGUGGCUUUGAGAUUUCUCCUACAUACUGUCGCAACGAGAUUGGUCCAACAUAAACCUACUCGAUUGUUCAACUAAUUAAAAUUCUAAUAUUGAUGGUCUCCUCCAUGCCGUAAUGGCAAUCAUUAAUCCAGCCACAAGCAUGUGGGGUGACGCCGACGCGUCGCUGGCCCGCCUGGCCGUGUCGAUGGAGCUGGUAGGAUCAUUUCCUUUUUGUACGCGUCAUGGCUGAUUAUCCUCGAGAGCUAGUCUCUCCGAUAUCGUCGUUACUACCUUCUCUUCUCCUCUCCUCUGCUUCCUCCUCCUUCACCAUAUAAACUGGGCUAUACACUGCACACUGCCAUGUGCGUGCAUGGUGCUUAUUAGUUGUGAGGUGGUCUCAUCAAGUAGUUGCCAAGAAAAGUUGCUCGCGGAUGGCGAUGCCACGGGAGACGGCGGUGUCCAUCGCGCACAACGUGUUCUUGCUGCUCGAUGGCUGGGUCUGUACGUGCGUCCUCGCCGCCGACGAGGCCGCACGCCUCCUCCGGUCGGCCACUCACUGAUCGUUCAACUAUCAAGUGGUAGGUGAUGUUUCCGUAGACAGCGAGACGUCUAUGGUGACUUCGUCAAUCUCGAGGAUUUGUCGGCUCAGUCUUAUUCAUAGGAGUAAGAUUUACGUGCAUGCGUUUAUAAGGAUGAGUGUGCGUGCGUUGUGAGUAUUUGGGUUGUACCAUGUAAUAAAAAAACAUAACAACUCAUGAGCUUCUUCCCCUUUUGGACAACAUGCAAGUCAUGUUUAUUUGUUGGCA